rnacentral:rRNA from 1 species
UAAGCGAAGGAUCCAAGCUGUUCGGUCCGGAUUUUACUGGGUUUAAAAGGGUGCGUAGGCGGACUUUUAAGUCAGUGGUGAAAGCUCGCAGCUUAACUGUGAAAUUGCCAUUGAAACUGAAAGUCUCGAGUGUGGUUGAGGUAACUGGAAUAUAUCAUGAGCGGUGAAAUGCUUAGAUAUGAUAUAGAACACCAAUUGCGAAGGCAGGUUACUGAGCCACAACUGACGCUGAGGCACGAAAGCGUGGGGAUCAAACAGG